GGUGAGAUGGCCGAGCGGUCUAAGGCGCCAGACUAAGGACCAAAGCAGUCGCUGCUUCCAAGAGAGGGGGGAUUCACAUCCCAUCCUGUUAUCUGGUCCUCCGGGGCGUGGGUUCGAAUCCCACUCUCAUCA